rnacentral:rRNA from 1 species
AGAGUUUGAUCAUGGCUCAGGAUGAACGCUAGCUACAGGCUUAACACAUGCAAGUCGAGGGGAAACGACAUCGAAAGCUUGCUUUUGAUGGGCGUCGACCGGCGCACGGGUGGGUAACGCGUAUCCAACCUGCCCACCACUUGGGGAUAACCUUGCGAAAGUAAGACUAAUACCCAAUGACGUCUCUAGAAGACAUCUGAAGGAGAUUAAAGAUUUAUCGGUGAUGGAUGGGGAUGCGUCUGAUUAGCUUGUUGGCGGGGUAACGGCCACAAGGCGACGAUCAGUGGGGGUUCUGAGAGGAAGGUCCCCCANAUUGGAACUGAGACACGGUCCAAACUCCUACGGGAGCA